rnacentral:rRNA from 1 species
GAUGAACGCUGGCGGCGUGCCUAAUACAUGCAAGUCGAGCGAACAGACGAGGAGCUUGCUCCUCUGACGUUAGCGGCGGACGGGUGAGUAACACGUGGAUAACCUACCUAUAAGACUGGGAUAACUUCGGGAAACCGGAGCUAAUACCGGAUAACAUGUUGAACCGCAUGGUUCAACAGUGAAAGACGGUCUUGCUGUCACUUAUAGAUGGAUCCGCGCCGCAUUAGCUAGUUGGUAAGGUAACGGCUUACCAAGGCAACGAUGCGUAGCCGACCUGAGAGGGUGAUCGGCCACACUGGAACUGAGACACGGUCCAGACUCCUACGGGAGGCAGCAGUAGGGAAUCUUCCGCAAUGGGCGAAAGCCUGACGGAGCAACGCCGCGUGAGUGAAGAAGGUCUUCGGAUCGUAAAACUCUGUUUUUAGGGAAGAGCAAAUGUGUAAGUAACUAUGCACGUCUUGACGGUACCUAAUCAGAAAGCCACGGCUAACUACGUG